AUUUUUUGCAUAUUUAUAAGCGGAGGAAAAGAAACUAACAAGGAUUCCCCUAGUAGCGGCGAGCGAAGCGGGAAGAGCUCAAAUUUAUAAUCUGGCACCUUCGGUGUCCGAGUUGUAAUCUCUAGAAAUGUUUUCCGCGUUGGACCGCACACAAGUCUGUUGGAAUACAGCGGCAUAGUGGUGAGACCCCCGUAUAUGGUGCGGACGCCCAGCGCUUUGUGAUACAUUUUCGAAGAGUCGAGUUGUUUGGGAAUGCAGCUCAAAUUGGGUGGUAAAUUCCAUCUAAAGCUAAAUAUUGGCGAGAGACCGAUAGCGAACAAGUACCGUGAGGGAAAGAUGAAAAGCACUUUGGAAAGAGAGUUAACAGUACGUGAAAUUGUUGGAAGGGAAACGCUUGAAGUCAGACUUGCUUGCCGAGCAAUCGGUUUGCAGGCCAGCAUCAGUUUUCCGGGAUGGAUAAUGGUAGAGAGAAGGUAGCAGUUUCGGCUGUGUUAUAGCUCUCUGCUGGAUACAUCUUGGGGGACUGAGGAACGCAGUGUGCCUUUGGCGGGGGUUUCGACCUCUUCACACUUAG
rnacentral:rRNA from 1 species